UACAGAGGGUGCAAGCGUUUGUUCGGAAUUAUUGGGCGUAAAGAGCGUGUAGGCGGCUUGGUAAGUCCGCUGUGAAAGUCCAGGGCUCAACCCUGGAAUGCCGGUGGAAACUGUCAAGCUUGAGUCCGGAAGAGGCGAGUGGAAUUCCUGGUGUAGCGGUGAAAUGCGCAGAUAUCAGGAGGAACACCGGUGGCGAAGGCGGGUCUCUGGGCCGAUACUGACGCUGAGGAGCGAAAGCGUGGGGAGCGAACAGG
rnacentral:rRNA from 1 species